rnacentral:rRNA from 1 species
UAACACGUGGGCAAACUGCCCUAAAGAGGGGGAUAACACUUGGAAACAGGUGCUAAUACCGCAUAACCAUAGUUACCGCAUGGUAACUAUGUAAAAGGUGGCUAUGCUACCGCUUUUGGAUGGGCCCGCGGCGCAUUAGCUAGUUGGUGGGGUAAAGGCUUACCAAGGCAAUGAUGCGUAGCCGAACUGAGAGGUUGAUCGGCCACAUUGGGACUGAGACACGGCCCAAACUCCUACGGGAGGCAGCAGUAGGGAAUCUUCCACAAUGGGCGAAAGCCUGAUGGAGCAACGCCGCGUGAGUGAAGAAGGUCUUCGGAUCGUAAAACCCUGUUGUUAGAGAAGAAAGUGCGUGAGAGUAACUGUUCACGUUUCGACGGUAUCUAACCAGAAAGCCACGGCUAACUACGUGCCAGCAGCCGCGGUAAUACGUAGGUGGCAAGCGUUAUCCGGAUUUAUUGGGCGUAAAGGGAACGCAGGCGGUCUUUUAAGUCUGAUGUGAAAGCCCUCGGCUUAACCGGAGUAGUGCAUUGGAAACUGGGAGACUUGAGUGCAGAAGAGGAGAGUGGAACUCCAUGUGUAGCGGUGAAAUGCGUAGAUAUAUGGAAGAACACCAGUGGUGAAAGCGGCUCUCUGGUCUGUAACUGACGCUGAGGUUCGAAAGCGUGGGUAGCAAACAGGAUUAGAUACCCUGGUAGUCCACGCCGUAAACGAUGAAUGCUAAGUGUUGGAGGGUUU